UGUCCCUUAGACAUUCAGAUUUUUUACUUGUAGAAGUAAAAAAGUCCACCUUUUUUUUAUUGAAUUUUAUGAUAUUCUUUGCUCUAAUAGACUUUUAAAUUAUCUGCCCUUUGCAAAUGUUUUUACUAAUCAUUUAAGUGUAAUUUCGUGGACAAUGAAAAUCCCAUUUGUCUGUUAUCUUCAGAACACUGCUCAUUUACAAGCCCCCAAGGAGCAAUUUUUGAAGGCCUUGCGCAAAUACUUAAGAUCUUUGCGCAAUCAGUUUCUUUGUUGAAUUAAUGAGACGAACAUUGAACUCUUAUAAAAAUAUAACCAAAGUUGGGAAAAAUCAUUAAAGGCAUGAAUUGACAUCUCAAAACUUAAGGACUUUUGUGGGAUUGUUGAGAAAAUUAAGGGGAGAUUAUUUAAACAUUAUUUAUUUACUUGUAUGUGUAUAUUUUUUUUACUUCUUCAAGUAAAUAAAAAUAACUUGUACAAGUAGUAACCCUGACUGAUAGUAUCCAGAAGUAAAUUUUGUAAAAAAAAAAUCAUUUUUCUGUUUUUUAUUAAAUAGGAAUUUCCCAACUGAGAGCUUUUAGCAAAAGUAAUAAAUGGCUUGACAAAUGCUUGAGUCAUGUUAGGAUAUACAUAUAUUAUAUAAAGUUAAAAUACUUAUUCAAUUAUUAGUUUCACUUUAUCUGCAUAUUUCUACUUUAUUUAGACUUUUUUAUGCUACUCAAUAAGUUCCCUGUUUACAAAAUACAUAUCUGACAUACGAAAUGAGAAGGUUUCAGUUUCUUUGAUGAUUAUCUCCCCUGAAAAAAGUAGCAUUAUGUGAGACUUAGUUAUUACUCUUCCACAGCUUUGUAAACUAUUUGUUUCAAGUACAAAAAGCAAAAGGCCAACUAUAUUUGGUGUAUUGCUUGAUUGUAAGGUGUAAAUGUCGGUCUGGCAGGUAUCAUGACGUUAUUGACCUUAUUUUUAGGGUUCAUUGGUCAAUGUUAAGUUUUUGUGUUUAAAUCAACUAUGUUUUUAUGGAAUGACUGUAAUUGAUAUUUGUCAAUCUGACAGGUUUUGUUUUUUUUAUCCGACCUUGACUCCAUUUCAUGGUUCAUGGUUUUGAAUCUUUUUAAAGUACUUUAAGCACAAGGUCAACUGAAAUGGUGUUUGGAAUGGUUUAAAGGGGUAUGUGUCUGUCUGGCAGGUUUAUUGUCUGACCUUGACCUCAUUUUGAUGGUUCAUUUUUCAAUUGUUUUUUUAUCUCUUUGUCAAUGAUCAUAAGCAAAAGGUCAAUUAUAUUUGUGUAUAAAAAUAAAUGGAAGGUGUAUUAUGUCUGUCUGACAGCAUUUAUCUGAUUUUACUUUCUAUGACAUUAUUAAACUUAAAAGUUUUAAGACUUUCAACAUAAAAUCAAUGGUCAGUAAAGCAGGCGAGACAUUUCACUGUGUCCACUCUUGUUCUAUAGCUUAUUGAGUUAUUAAAUAUUGACUGUGAUAUUGUGUGAGAAGUGAAUCUCUUAUUGUUCAUGUUGUAGAAAUUGUGCAUAGUAAAUAUAUAUCAAGAGUUUGAAAAUUUUUAUUGGGUCAAUUAAAAUAAAACUUGUGGUUUUAACAUUCUGAAAAACAUUAAAAGCAAUUAUGAAUUGAUGAAUUUUUUAUUUAUUUAUUUUUGGUCUGAUUUACUUUUUUUUUUAGCAAAUCAGAAUUAAUGAAAUUGAGGUUAAAUUAUGUCACACUUUUCUCAGAAAUAAACAAAUGAGGAAUGGAUCUUUUAUAGAUAAGUAGUAAUCCAUAAUAUAAUAUUUUCUUUUUACCAAUUACUUUCACAAAAUACUACAGGUUUCUGUAGAAACCCCGUAUAUAAUUAUUUUGUUUUGCCCACCCCUCAACACAAUUAAUUUUGGAAUAACCCAUAGAGAAACUGCAUCUAUUAUUCUGGUUAGCCUAAUAAUUAAAAUAUAGCAGUAUGAAACAUGUAUCAAACAUGUAAAUUAUGAAGUCAUUUCAUGGUAAUACUAUUUAUUGUUGUACAGAUUGAUAAUAAAUAAAACUAGAAGAAGAUUUAUUACAGACUCAAUUUUCUCACAUAAUAUAUAUAUAUAUAUAUAAGUAUGUCUGAGUCAGUGACAACUCUACAACAGAUUUAUCCAUCGGAUCGCCAUCAAUGAUGGUGAUACAUGGCUGUGUACAUUAUGUAUAUACAACUCGUCUAAAUUUCAACACAAGAAUGUUAGAUCUGUAAAUUUGCUUUCGCAAAUUAUAUAUAUAUAUAGAUAGAUUACCAAAUAAGGCAAAUGGAUAACAUUACCCGUAAACAAUUUGAAUUAGUUUUCAAUGGUAAAUUUUUAUUUUCAAAAAUAAUAUAUGAAACACUCGUACUAGUCUAUUUCAUUGAUUUGGUUUUUGAUUUUAAGUUAUAUUGAUUUAGUUAUUGGGUUUUAAGUUAGCUCACUUAUAAUUAUGACCAGCAUUAUUUGUACAUGUAUUAAGGGUGUGAACAAUUUGUGAGCCUGGUUGUGUGUACAGAUUUACAACAGAAUUUGAAAAUUAUUAAAGGAUUAAAUCUGAUAGAAAAAAAUCAUUAUGUGGAAUACUCUUUGUAAAAAAUGUCUUUGGUCCUGCUGACAAUAUUCGAGUCCCAGGGACCCCCUCUGGUUCUGCCUAUGCAUGUGGGUGCAUCAUGUGUGUCUUUUACCUCCAGUUUCACCAAGAAAGUAAAAGUUUUUUGUAUAAGACAUUAAAUUGAUAAAGUUUUGUAAGAUCAUGAAUAUUAAAAUUAUUAAUUUGUUUUUCUUUAUUUUUAAUGAAAAUUAUUUGUGUUUUUAAUAUGACCUUAUAAAAUAACUGAAUUUUGUUAAUAAUUUGUUGAUCUUUUAAAAACAAUCACACAAAUUGAAGAAGAUUUGAAAUUUUCAAAAGGGAGAAGAAUGUGAUAAUUUAGUUUAGUUUUUGUGUAUAAUAAUCUUUAUUUGACACAAUGGUAUGCUAAGUAUAAAAAUGAACUUGAAUUUACAUGUACAUGUCUUGAGAAAAUGGUUGUUAUAUUAAAUUGUAUUUUAGCUUUGUGUACAAACAGGCUUGUAUAUAUUAGUGAAAUACACAAAAUUGUGCAAUUCUGUUAAUGUUAUAAAAUAUGCAACAAAGGAUUUUG
rnacentral:lncRNA from 1 species